rnacentral:rRNA from 1 species
UACGUAGGUGGCAAGCGUUGUUCGGAAUUACUGGGCGUAAAGCGCGCGUAGGCGGCUCUUCAAGUCAGGCGUGAAAGCCCCGAGCUUAACUCGGGAACUGCGCUUGAUACUGUCGAGCUAGAGUGUGUCAGAGGGGGGUAGAAUUCCACGUGUAGCAGUGAAAUGCGUAGAUAUGUGGAGGAAUACCGAUGGCGAAGGCAGCCCCCUGGGAUAACACUGACGCUCAUGCACGAAAGCGUGGGGAGCAAACAGG